UCCUGUCGGAAGCAGGAAUGAUUUCACGGCCCCUCUUGCAUAUUAAUGAACUACACGUAACCCCAGCUUAGUGGUGCAGAUGCAGCCUUGUGGGAGCUGUGCCAGAGCGCAGCGAUAAAUACCAGCUCUAGGGGAAAUACAUUUCAUGAUAGAAUUAGGAGAGCAGCCAUCUGAGACGGCCACAGAAACCAGCCCCCUUCCCAGAAGGACCUCUUCGGAAGGAAGCAGCUAGAAAGUUCAUCCUGAAUCUUGAAGACUGUGCUUCCUCCUCACUAUACCCUCACUCGGGGUGAAGCUGCCCAUCUGGCAAAGGACGCAGGGUUUCUUGCCCCUGAGGUUGGCCCAUAGUCACCCGAGAGAGCUCUGGCAGCAGAUCUUUCCCCUGUUGAGUCCCGAGAUGCCUGCCGCCUGCCUGGCACGUGUUUGCAGGUGAGCUGGGGCCACCUAGCCAGUCUUCCCUUGGAUCUCUAACCCCAGCUACAAGGUAACAGAUACUUGUUUUCAGUCACUGAGUUUUGAGAGUUUGUGACAGAGCAGUAAAGAAUUAAUACUGUUGCCCUCUGUCACUUUAUGUUUUAUUUUCCGCUUGUAAAACUAAAAUAUGCCUAUUGUUAAGACAGAAAAACAAAGAAAAAAACUACCUCAAAAUCUGUGAACAGGAGUUUAGUAAUAUUUCCCACAGAAUCAGUGGAGUAAGCUAUUUGAAAUGUCAAGCAGACUAUGUUACUCCCUUAUUCAACCAUCCAAUGAUGUCUUGUCUCAUUUGGAAUAUCAGCUAAAAUUCUUGCUGUGGCCUCCCAGGCUAAGGUGCUUCCCCUUGCCCACAGGGUGCUGCUCUUUCUCCCACUCACAGGGGUCUCCUCCUGCACCCCCUGCUGCUAAUCAAGUCUGUCCCACACGCUCUUGUCUUUGGGUCACGUACUUGCUGUUUUCACGAUGACUUGCUGUUUCCCAGAACAACCUCGUGGCUGGCUUCCUUGCCACAUUCAUCUCUCAGCUGUGGCUUUUGUUCGAUUCAAAUGUUGCUCCACAGAGAUGCCACCCCCGAGCGUCCACCCAAACAGUGCCCUUCACCCACUGGCUCUGCACUUCAGGGAUGCCACGCUAUUGCUAAUUUACAAUGUCACUCAUGGCCUGCUGCAGCCUUCUCCCAUUGGAAUGUUGGAUGUACAAGUGCAAGGAUUUUGUUUCAUUUACUGCUAUAUAUCCCUAGCGCAAUCAACAUGUGUUGAAUAAAUGCUGUAACUAUUCCUUUUAUCCCUUUUAAUUCUUUUUUCUUUUUUCUUUCCUCCACACGGGCUUUUAGAUUUUCAAAGAUAUUGUAAUGUUAUAAGAAGAAAAUAAAAUGUAACUUUAACAGAUGAAAACUAAGCUGGGGAGAUAGAUGGCUCGGUGGGUAGAGGCACCCGCCACCAAGCCCUAUGACCCGAGUUUGAUUCCCCUAGGACGCACACGGUGGAAGGAGAGAGUCAGCUUCUGGCUCCAUGCAUUUCACAGCUAUGCAUUUCUUCAGCCAGUAAAACUACAGUGGAUUUGAUUUAGCCGACAGGACAGUAGAGUGUCGCCAGGCAAGCAGAAGAGAAUUCGCUCACUGAGGCUUGCUCUUCCUAAGACUGUCCUGGGAAGAUCUGCUAGCCUAAAGAGCGAUGGAUUCCAUACAUGGAGGCAGUAUGUAACUUUUGGCAUGGAAGAUGCUUUUGCCUGAGGGAGAGUCAAAUCAUGAUCAGAAGAUCCAGUGGACUGGCAGGGAAAGAAUAUAGCCAACUCACCCUAAGCCCUGCGCAAGAAGGUACCCUGUCCCCACCUCUGUAUAUUGGAGAGUCUUCUUCAGCCUUCCUGGAGCUGAACUUUUCACCCUGGGCUAAGAGUGUGAGGGUUAAGAAGAAAAGCCUCCUGGGACAGCAAGAUGGCUCAGUAGGGACUUCCUUUUGGUCAUUCAUUAUCCCUCAACACUUUUAUGGACAGCUGAUCAGGGACCAAGAGGAAAGGUUAAACUCCAAGAUGUUGACUCUUGUAUUAGUGAACAACUAAUGAUCCUUUUUGCUUUCAAGCAUCCCUAAUAAAAUGUCUCCUAGGAUCACCACCUCUUAAAAUAUGAAGGGAGUUCAGAGGUCAUUUCUGAAGUGCAUGAAAAAGGAAACCUGGGAGAUACAGAGAUAGAUGGAAAAACAGACAUACAGCUUACCUGGAAUUUGAUCUUAGCCUGCCUGCUGUAUGAUCUGGUCAGCCUUCGAGGCAUGCCAUUACUAGACAAUGUGAUCUAUUAUUCAAAAUGUGGUUUGUUCUAUGUCCAGGGGACUUCAGUUAUGGCUCUUUGGAGUUGUGUUUGUAGUCUCUGCACAGAGGGACCUGGGGCCAAUUAGUACUUUGCAAACUAGAUGGUCAUUAUAAUUCUUAGUCAAUUUCAUAUGACUCUGAAGAACUUCCCAAACUUGAUUUCAGUAGUAUAUUUUUGAGCACUGAUGGCUGC